UGUGUAUAACGCAUCUUGGCUGUUAUUUCCGAAUCCCUUGAAUUCAGCACAGCACCUGGUCUGUAGAAAACACUCUAUAACAUGUUGCUUGAAUGAACUCCUGAUCUGCAUUUUAAUGCAGACCAAAUUCAAAGCUACAGAAGUAAGGUUUUGACAGGGCCGUUUGGCUACGACCUCAAGGAACAUUCCGGGAGGCACCCUGAUUCAUUCUGCUGUAGUCAAACAAACGGAGGCUGGGCAGCUGACCCAGGGAUGAAGAGCUCAAUCUCUAUGCCUGCUCUCAGCCCAGUAACUGUCAAAGAGCAGGACCUUACCCAGCAGUGCUGCAGUCCCGUGCAGCUUAUGCAGAAAUGCAGACUGUUGGUGUUGGCAUCAGGACCUCCCAAACCUAUGACAUCACAAGGUGACAGCAGAACCCACAGACCUGCUACCAAGACAACAGCUCCCAUAUUCCCAGAAUCCACUUGGCUCACCUCCCACCUUUACCUGCUUUAUGUCAUUUUCCGUAUAAAAAGGGGAACGCUCCUCCCUCUCUCUUUUUGUUCCCUUUCCUCUUUCUGCUGCCACCUCCCCCCUCCAAAUAAACCUCUUACACUUAGAGCUGUUUGGCCCAGUGUGCUGUGUUCAGACGUGAGCCAAGACUGUAACACGUCAGUUGGAUCCUCCAGAGAUCUCAUGUUGGUUGCUCAGGGCAGGCCAGCCACCUGUGUUGAGUAAACCUCCUGGAGUGACCGGUGCCAGCCUGACCAGCAGUCCUUGAAGCUCUGAAAUUCCUACAGAAGCAGCUAUAGGAGGUCGAGCACAGGACUCCCUCCAUGGCUUCAUGUCUGACCAAUCCAAACAAAGCCAAACUGGAGGAGGAGAAGCACCCAAGAGCUCUGUUCCAGGUUUACCUUCCUUGUCAGCUUGUGAGCACCAGAAGGCAGCAAGUUCUCCCAUGCAUCUAAUCUUUUGUGCGUAGCACAUGGGAGGAGGCGAUCUACAAGGAUGCAUAUUAACAGGACACGCCAACUACUGCAACUACCAUGGAACCCAGCCGGAUUUCCCUGUCUUCUGCUUCCUUCUUAACCCUUCCACUGCUUCUUUUACCUUCUU